rnacentral:rRNA from 1 species
UACGAAGGGGGCUAGCGUUGCUCGGAAUCACUGGGCGUAAAGCGCACGUAGGCGGAUUGCUAAGUCAGGGGUGAAAUCCUGGAGCUCAACUCCAGAACUGCCUUUGAUACUGGCGAUCUCGAGUUCGGGAGAGGCGAGUGGAAUUCCACGUGUAGCGGUGAAAUGCGUAGAGAUGUGGAGGAACACCAGUGGCGAAGGCGACUCUUUGGCCUGUAACUGACACUGAGGCGCGGAAGCGUGGAGAGCAAACAGG